CUGUAAACGGUUUUUGAUCAAGCUAGGCUAGACUGACGAUAGAUCAAUAUAUAUCUGAAAGUAUUUGGGGGUUUUUUCAUCCCAGCGUCUCUUUUGCUCCCGAAGACCCCAUUUGCACAGCAGGUGAAAUCAUGGAUGGUUUGCUUAAGGAAAUAAGAAGCAAGGACCAAGCAGCCGCCUCUGUACUGGAACAGGCGGAUUUACGCAGUGACUCAGAUCUCCAGUCACUGACUUUACAAGACCUGGGUUUGCUGUUCCCUGGAGUUAAAAAUGUCAAACUGAGAAGGGAUAUCUUUGAUAUAAUACACAAGCAGAAAUCAAUUGGUGAGCUCAUAGAAAAAUCCAAGCACUUCAUCCCACAUGACUCUCUCAGGGCUGCCUUAACUGAAAAUGGAGUUUUGGUCGACUACCUGAAAAUGUUGAAGGAAAUGAAGACCCAAAUGAAUAAAGAUUUCCUUGAUCCGCAUAUCAAUCUACUGGAGGACUUCAGGAAAUCUCAACCAUCGCAGGACCAGGACAAAGGUGAAAUCAUGGAUAUUUUGCUUAAGGAAAUAAGACGCAAGGAUGAAGUGGCAGCCAAUAAACUGGAAGAGGAAGGUUUGAGAGCUGACUCAGAUCUCCAGUUACUGACUUUACAAGACCUGGGUUUGCUGUUACCUGGAGUUGAAAAUGUCAAACGGAUAAGGGAAAUCUUUGAUAUAAUACACAAGCAGAAACCAAUUGGUGUGCUCAUAGAAAAAUUCAAGGACUUCAUCCCACAUGAAUCUUUCAGGGCUGCCUUAACUGAAAAUGGAGUUUUGGUUGACUACCUGAAAAUGUUGAAGGAAAUGAAGAUCCAAUUGAAUAAAGUGCAAGAUUUCCUUGAUGCACAUAUCAAUCUACUGGAGGACCUCAGGAAAUCUCAACCAUUGCAGAACCAGGACAAAGGUUCUUCGUCAAGUGGUCCAGUGAAGCGCCACAAUAGCCAAACCAGUGACCCUCCACAAAUGCAACAAGGCCCAGCUUGCACAGCAGAGGAAAACGUUUUGCAUAAAGAAAAAAGACACAAGGAUGAAAAAGCAGCAGGUUCUUCGUCAAGUAGUGAGAAUAGCCAAACUAGUGACCUUCCAGAAAUACAACAAGCCACACUGAAGUACAAGAUGGUGAUAAGUGGAAAAACCUUUAAUGCCCAUCAACAGAUACUGGAAAAAGUAAAGGCUUUAAAUGAGGAUCCAGAUUUGAAUUUGAUCGAACAGGAAGACAGCAAUCAGGAUUGCCAGGCCAUUAUUGUCUUCUGUCCCAUUGUUUCACGUAUGGGGACAGAUAUUGAUGCAGCCAUGACGCAAGUCAAAGGUUCUCAGCCUGUCAUUCUGGUUUUGAUGCAUCACGCACAUGAACCCAAGCAUGUAACUUUAAUGAAAAUACAGAAUAAUGUUUCUAAUGUUGUGUUACCUUUCCAUGUUUUCUACCAUGAGACAGUGCAUGGAUUGUUGCAGUGUCAGCAAAAUAACGAUGCCAUUUCUGAAAUUCGAAAGGCAUUACUGAAGCACGCAGAUAUCCAGACAAUUAAAGAUACAAGUGGAAAGACACAGAAUGUAGCUGCUAAAAGUAGUAAUCGUGGUGGGAGUUUUAUUUUUCGUUUUUGGUAAAUAAUGAUAGUGUAAAUUCAGAUAUUACAAGUCAAAGAAACUGUAUAUAUAUCCCAUGCAUUACUCUUUUGUAAUCUAAUUUUUUUUGCGCUGUAUCACUUCAGUAGUGUAGAUUGCUCUGACCAUUUGAGUAGGAAGCGAAAAUUUUAUGGUUUUGAUCAUGCAAAAUAAUUAUUUUGUACAUUGUGAAACAAAAGGACAGCACAGAAUCGUCUUUGUGACCUUUAUUUCAGUACUUUAAGAUAUUUCAGCUGUAAGGGUAGUUGCAGAGUCAACAGGUGUGAUCAUGAAGUGUCAAAGAAGAGGUCAGAGACACAGUAUAUGGGUGUAGAUAGUCAUAAAACUACUUUCAACUGUACCAACUGCUGUUUAUCUCUAAAAACAAAAGUGACAGCUACAGCUGUAUGUACACAGUGACAUCGUAAGUCCUUUGAUCAUUAAGAUAAAUAAUAAAUAUAUUUAUAUCAAAGUCAAACAUAUUGUGAUUAGUUUCACGGUUGCUAUGUAAAUCUGCAAGUUAUUUUCAUCUUUCAGAAAAAAAAAAUCAAGCCAAUGUUUAAAAUUGUGAAUAAAAAUGUAAAAAAACAUCUGUUGUCUUCUUUUUCUUUUUUCCUUUUUUUUUUUUUUUUUUUUUAAAUUGAGGGGUCCUGAACAGUUCAAAACACCAGUGUAUUUACAGUAUAAUUUAACCUAGUUCAGCUAAUAUUUCUGCUGUUAUUUUCUAUAUUCUUGACUUUUAUUCACUCUAAGAAAGACUAAAGAGUGCAAAGACCACAUAUUCAAU
ensembl:lncRNA